rnacentral:rRNA from 1 species
UACGAAGGGGGCUAGCGUUGCUCGGAAUCACUGGGCGUAAAGCGCACGUAGGCGGCUUUUUAAGUCAGGGGUGAAAUCCUGGAGCUCAACUCCAGAACUGCCUUUGAUACUGGGAAGCUUGAGUCCGGGAGAGGUGAGUGGAACUCCGAGUGUAGAGGUGAAAUUCGUAGAUAUUCGCAAGAACACCAGUGGCGAAGGCGGCUAUCUGGACGGUUUCUGACACUAAGACACGAAAGCGUGGGGAGCAAACAGG